CAGGAUUCUCUUAGUAACGGCGAGUGAAAAGAGAUUAGCCCAACAUCGAAGCCACCAUGCUUUUGUGUGGAAGGCAAUGUGAUGUUAAGGUGUUUGAUUUCGCUGACUGACUAACUUGAAGUCCAUAUUUGACUGUGGCUUGUGUGUAUACACCCAGAGAUGGUGAAAGGCCAGUUCAGGUUGGUAUUCAGAUAUGACAGUCUUGCGUACAUUCAUUCACCUUAGAGUCGGAUUGCUUGAGAGUGCAGUCCAAAAUGGGUGGUAAACUCCAUCUAAGGCUAAAUACCUGUACGAGUCCGAUAGUCGACAAGUACCGUGAGGGAAAGUUGAAAAGUACUCUGAAGAGAGAGUAAAUAGUACGUGAAACUACAUGGAGGUUAAACAGAUAGAGUCAAGCUGCGUGUUAUUGUUCAUUGCUCUAAUCGUUCCCUGUUGCGUGAAACUUGUUACAUGCUGGCAUGGCGACCUGCUUACUUGUAAGCAUUUGAAUACUUAUGGUGUUUGAAGGUGUGUAGCAAGUAAAAACGAUUAAUGUUUAUGACUAUAGCAAGUGCCAUAGUCGGUUACUUUCCGGUAUGCUAUAACCAGCGAUUGUGCGGACUGACUUAAUUCGUCUGUGCAGUUAGUAUGACAGUUGGCAUGACCCAAUGCUUGCAUUGGGUUUUGUUAAAGAGGGCUACGGCCUGUUGGUUAUGGUGUUUGCCGUGAUGGUGACUGGUAAAACAUGCUCUUUGAAUUCGUGUUGUUAUGCCAACUUGUUGGUUGACAUCAUGAAUGGGUGUAUGAACUAUGGUAUGGUGGUAGACUUUCUAUCUGACCCGUCUUGA
rnacentral:rRNA from 1 species